rnacentral:rRNA from 1 species
AGACCCGAAACCCGGUGAUCUAGCCAUGGGCAGGUUGAAGGUUGGGUAACACUAACUGGAGGACCGAACCGACUAAUGUUGAAAAAUUAGCGGAUGACCUGUGGCUGGGGGUGAAAGGCCAAUCAAACCGGGAGAUAGCUGGUUCUCCCCGAAAGCUAUUUAGGUAGCGCCUCGUGAACUCAUCUCCGGGGGUAGAGCACUGUUUCGGCUAGGGGGCCAUCCCGGCUUACCAACCCGAUGCAAACUGCGAAUACCGGAGAAUGUUAUCACGGGAGACACACGGCGGGUGCUAACGUCCGUCGUGAAGAGGGAAACAACCCAGACCGCCAGCUAAGGUCCCAAAGUCAUGGUUAAGUGGGAAACGAUGUGGGAAGGCCCAGACAGCCAGGAUGUUGGCUUAGAAGCAGCCAUCAUUUAAAGAAAGCGUAAUAGCUCACUGGUCGAGUCGGCCUGCGCGGAAGAUGUAACGGGGCUAAACCAUGCACCGAAGCUGCGGCAGCGACACUUUAGUGUUGUUGGGUAGGGGAGCGUUCUGUAAGCCGUUGAAGGUGUCCUGUGAGGGGUGCUGGAGGUAUCAGAAGUGCGAAUGCUGACAUAAGUAACGAUAAAGCGGGUGAAAAGCCCGCUCGCCGGAAGACCAAGGGUUCCUGUCCAACGUUAAUCGGGGCAGGGUGAGUCGACCCCUAAGGCGAGGCCGAAAGGCGUAGUCGAUGGGAAACGGGUUAAUAUUCCCGUACUUGGUGUUACUGCGAAGGGGGGACGGAGAAGGCUAUGUUGGCCGGGCGACGGUAGUCCCGGUUUAAGCGUGUAGGCUGGUUUUCCAGGCAAAUCCGGAAAAUCAAGGCUGAGGCGUGAUGACGAGGCACCACGGUGCUGAAGCAACAAAUGCCCUGCUUCCAGGAAAAGCCUCUAAGCAUCAGGUAACAUCAAAUCGUACCCCAAACCGACACAGGUGGUCAGGUAGAGAAUACCAAGGCGCUUGAGAGAACUCGGGUGAAGGAACUAGGCAAAAUGGUGCCGUAACUUCGGGAGAAGGCACGCUGACACGUAGGUGAAGUGAUUUACUCAUGGAGCUGAAGUCAGUCGAAGAUACCAGCUGGCUGCAACUGUUUAUUAAAAACACAGCACUGUGCAAACACGAAAGUGGACGUAUACGGUGUGACGCCUGCCCGGUGCCGGAAGGUUAAUUGAUGGGGUCAGCGCAAGCGAAGCUCCUGAUCGAAGCCCCGGUAAACGGCGGCCGUAACUAUAACGGUCCUAAGGUAGCGAAAUUCCUUGUCGGGUAAGUUCCGACCUGCACGAAUGGCGUAAUGAUGGCCAGGCUGUCUCCACCCGAGACUCAGUGAAAUUGAACUCGCUGUGAAGAUGCAGUGUACCCGCGGCAAGACGGAAAGACCCCGUGAACCUUUACUAUAGCUUGACACUGAACAUUGAGCCUUGAUGUGUAGGAUAGGUGGGAGGCUUUGAAGCGUGGACGCCAGUCUGCGUGGAGCCGACCUUGAAAUACCACCCUUU